rnacentral:rRNA from 1 species
GACGAACGCUGGCGGCGUGCUUAACACAUGCAAGUCGAGCGGAGCGGCGAACGGGUGAGUACCGCGUGAGUACCUGCCCCCCUCUCUGGGCUAACAGUUGGAAACGGCUGCUAAUACCGGAUAGUGGGGGAUGACUCGCGUCCUAUCAGCUUGUUUGUGGGGUAGUGGCCUACCAAGGCGACGACGGGUAGCCGGCCUGAGAGGGAGACCGGCCACAGUGGGCUGAGAUACGGCCCAAACUCCUACGGGAGGCAGCAGUGGGGAAUAUUGCACAAUGGGGGAAACAAUGAUGAAGCAACGCCGCGUGCGGGAUGACGGCUUUCGGGUUGUAAACAGCUUUCAGCCAUGACGCGGUAGUGGCAGAAGAAGCACCGGCUAACUACGUGCCAGCCGCCGCGGUAAUAC